rnacentral:lncRNA from 1 species
UAAUUAGUUAGAUUAUAAAAUACUUUUAUAGUAUUUCAUUUAUAAAUUACUUCACACUUACAAAAAUCAAAUAUUAGAAGAAAUACAUAAUUUCAAAAGAAAUACAAAAUAUGUUAUUAUUUAGCUAAAAGAGUCUCGACCAAUGUUAGUGGUCUGUCUGUGAUUUUCCUAAAUGAAUAUUAUCCACUACAUUAGUAGUGGACUUUCCUUUUAUCAACUUGUCAUUGAUUAACUUUUGAUCGUUCCUUUAAUACUUUUUUUUUUUUUUUUGUAACAUCAUUUUCUUAAGAAGAUCAAUACAUGAUAGACUCCCCACUUUUCUAUUGGUUAUAUAUUCACAUAUGUAGGUGAGGCAAGUGAGAUGACUCCACCUUGAAGUGAUGAACAUCACUUCCACAUAUCCCUACAGCUUUGAUUCUAACUUUAACAACAUAAGGGCCUAAAACAACACAAAAUUAAAGGGAAACUAUGAAAUGAUAAUUGAGAAAAAGAAAACAUAGAGGGAGGAAAAGGAAUAAUAAUACCCAGAGAAGGGAGAAUGUAGGGUUGAAUCUUGAGGGUCUUGAUGCCCAGAAGCCAAGCUCCCAUGGUCUCUUCUCCAUGCUCCUUGCCUGAAACAGCAUCCUCAGAAUUGCCUCCUUACCCCAUCUCUCUCCCUCUCUCCCCUGCUUUCACAAUUCACGCACACAGAUGACAGACCUCUGGACCCUCUCUCACAG